CUGGCAAGCCGUUAACUUCAGCCAGACAAUUAGCUCAUUCUUCUUUGCUAAUGUUUUUUCUUCUGAUGCACCACUAUCAAGGAAUACUUCACCUUUCAUGCGUCGCAAAAAGUAUGGCUUGAUCCGCUCUCUUAAUACCUUAGCUACAUUUGAGCCUAUGUGCUUCUCUCGAGUGGUAGCAUUCUUGUCAUUUCCUCGAAGGAUAGCCAUCUCAUACCUUGUUUUGAACCUGUAAUAGAGAAAUAAAUGACACGAGAUUGUGAAUUCAACCAAAUUUGAGAAUACAGGAACAAUAGAGAGUAAUUGAAU